ACCCAUCGUCUCUGGCUCUAACCCUUCCAAGCGCAGCGAUCGCCCCUGCUCCUUCCACUGCCAAGCGAUUCUUGUGGCAUAGUCUCUGGCCCUUCCCCCACCAAGCGAUUCUUUCGGGUACUACGGCCGUCUUCGUGAUGCAUGAAUCUUCCGGCGUCGUCCCUGCCCCCCCCCCCAACCAAGCGAUUCUUCCGGUCAGCUUAGAAUAUUUAAAAUUCGUGCAUAUAUAAGCUUCAAUUUUCAGUACUGCCCAGCUUAGAAUAUGUGGAUUAACAUGAAGGCAGUUGUGCUCAAGAAGUCUGAAUUAAAGGUAAACAAAAGUUGGAGAGCUUUGAUGAAGAGUGUGUUGAUAGCUUUUAUUCUUUUUUCCUGGUUGCAGAUUUUCAAUCAUUCUGCAAAAUUUCAACUGAUGCGCACAGGGGAUGCUAAUGCAAGUGGGUGGAAGGGAUAGUUCUCCUCAGUCCUGUGAGUAAACCGAGAAAUUUUCCUAUGUUGUAACCUGUAAUUAGCCAAGUGAGUAGCUUAUCCACCAGAUUUUCAACAACUCAUACUGAAAGAAUUGGAGAAAUAUUCUUUUUGGCUUUAAAUAAUGCAGAGAUCAAGGGGAAUCUAGAAACCUGCAAAUGCCUACACGGUCACCUCCGCCAUCCAAAACCAACAAACAUUAUUUUUUCUAUGGCCACCGCAAGCCCUCUCAAAACCGUCCAAUUGUCCGUGGUGGUCUCUUCUCCAAUCGCCUAACUCUUAACCCCAAUAAACCAAAAAAUACUGAAGUCCAGCCCUUUGAUAUACACAAAUGGGACCCUCACUUCCUCUCCAAGUCUCCAUCAUCUUCAGCACUAGCACCAUCACCAGAAACCUCAUUUUCCAUCUCCCUCCGAUUAUCUCCGAUUGCCCGAUUCAUUACUGAUGCCUUCCGCAAGAACCAGAACAAGUGGGGCCCUUCUGUGGUGGAAGAGCUUCAAAAGCUCCGUAGGGUGACUCCUAACCUGGUGGUUGAGGUGCUUAAAGUCCAAAAUAAUCCCACCCUUGCCUCUAAGUUUUUCCACUGGGCAGGGAAGCAGAAGGGUUACAAUCACAAUUAUGCCUCCUACAAUGCUUUCGCUUACUGCUUAAAUCGUAACAAUCAGUUUCGGGCAGCUGAUCAGCUUCCUGAGCUGAUGGAUUCACAGGGGAAGCCACCUAGUGAGAAGCAGUUCGAGAUCUUGAUCAGAAUGCAUUCAUAUGCCAAUAGGGGUCUUAGGGUCUAUUAUAUUUAUGAGAAAAUGAAGAAAUUUGGUGUUAAACCAAGGGUUUUUUUGUAUAAUAGGAUUAUGGAUGCAUUGGUCAAAACAGAUCACUUGGAUUUGGCAUUAUCAGUUUAUGAUGAUUUUAGAGAAGAUGGCUUGGUUGAAGAGUCUAUUACUUUUAUGAUUUUGAUAAAAGGAUUGUGUAAGGUGGGGAGGAUCGAUGAAAUGUUGGAGAUUUUGAGUCAAAUGAGGACCAACCUGUGUAAGCCAGAUGUAUUUGCAUACACUGCUAUGGUUCGUUUGCUGGUUUCAGAGGGCAAUUUAGAUGGGUGUUUGAGGGUUUGGGAUGAAAUGAAUAGGGAUGGGGUUGAGCCUGAUGUCAUGGCUUAUGCAACGUUAAUUACUGGUUUAUCUAAAGGGGGCAGAACUGAAGAGGGUUAUGAAUUAUUCAAGGAGAUGAAGAAAAAGGGCCAUUUGAUUGAUAGAGCAAUAUAUGGAGCACUCAUUGAGUCAUUUGUGGCAAGGAGGCAGGUUGGCUGUGCUUGUGAUUUGUUGAAGGAUUUGAUGGCUUCAGGAUAUAGGGCUGAUCUGGGGAUAUAUAACUCACUUAUUGAAGGCUUGUGUAAUGUGAGUCAGGUUGAGAAGGCUUACAAGAUUUUCCAAUUCACUAUACAGGAAGAUCUUAAACCAGACUUUGCAUCCGUUAAACCCUUACUGAUGUCUUAUGCUGAAGCAGAACAGAAGAAAGAUUUUUGCCAGUUGCUCAAGCAAAUGAAGAAUUUGGGCUUUCCAGUUCUUGAUGACCUGUCCAAGUUCUUUUCCUUUUUCGUAGAGAAGAAGGGACCAAUAGCGGCAUUAGAUACAUUUACGGAUCUGAAAGCAAAAGGUUAUAUUAGUGUCAAAAUAUACAACCUUCUUAUGGAUUCUCUGCAAAAGAUUGGUCAGGCCGAGAAGGCAUUAUCACUCUUUGGUGAAAUGAAUGACUCAACAUGUAAACCUAAUUCAUCUACGUACAGUAUAGCAAUUGCAUGUUUUGUUGAUCUUGGGGAAAUUCCAGAGGCUUGUGAAUGUCACAAUAAGAUCAUUGAGAUGUGUUCUGUUCCGUCUGUUGCUGCUUACAGUUGUCUUUCCAAAGGGCUUUGUAAAAUUGGAGAGAUUGAUGCAGCCAUGAUGCUUGUUCGCGACUGCUUGGCCAAUGUGGACAGUGGACCGAUGGAGUUUAAGUAUACUCUUACCAUCCUUCAUGCAUGCAAAUCAAAUGAUGCAGAGAAUGUGAUUGAAGUGUUAAAUGAGAUGAUGCAAGAAGGUUGCCCUCCUAAUGAAGUCGUAUACUCUGCGAUCAUCUCUGGCAUGUGUAAGCAUGGAACGAUUGAAGAGGCCAGGAAGGUUUUCGCAAACUUAAGGGAGCGGAAAUUAUUGACCGAAGCCAAUGCAAUAGUGUAUGAUGAAGUGCUAAUUGAUCACAUGAAGGAAAAAACAGCACAAUUGGUGCUGUCAGGAUUGAAGUUCUUCGGUCUAGAAUCCAAGUUAAAAUCAAAAGGUGUCAAGUUCCUGCCAAGUGGAAGACGGUAAUAGAAGGUGAUUGAUAUCCUUUGACUCCUUAUAAGUCAAACAUGUAAAGAUGAUGCAAGAGGCAUGGACGGGGGAACAUAAUUCGUUUGCUCAUCAAACCCAUCGCAGGUUAUCACAAAACAUUUGGCCAGUUAAACUAAGGAGUUCAUUGGUUAUAGGAUGAUCCGAUAAAAAUAUCCAACAGGUCAGUUGGGACUUUCUGGUACAAGCUGAUUUUUGCCUCGUUUUUUUGGGAGGGCGUUUCGGGGAGGAGAGGGAGAUUCAGAAUUCUAAACAUGUAAUUUUGUUGUUUUUACAUAUAAGGAAAAAAAAACUGUGACCUUCCCAGUAAUAUUUAUUUACUAAUUUGCAAAAAUUGAAUUAAACUGCCUCUAGUGCCAUC